AUGAAAUUUUUGAAAGCUAGCAACCUGAAUUAUGAAUGUCAGUUUUUAACUUUUUACAUUUUACCCAUGUGGUUUGAUUUUAGCUCUUUGAAUCUCCUCACAAAAACAAUAUGUAAGCUUAUUUUUCAAUUUAGUGGGAAACUUUUUAUGGUAUUUCAAAUCUCUCCAAUUCUACCACCUCUUCCCCAACAACAACAAGAGCAACAAAAACUGUGUAAGGGCAUAACAUCCACUGAUUGCUUGAAAUUAUCUGGCCAUGAACAUUAUACAUCUAUACCUCCUUUUCAGAUUAAAAUCUUAUAUGCCUGAUCUAUAUCUUUCCAAAAAAAAAAGAAUGUCUUCUAUGCCUUCCACACUUGCAUGAAAUUUUAUUUAAACAUUAAGUCUUAUGGUUAAGAGUAAAACAGAGGGAAGGAUUUUUUUUAAAUUGUGUGACCUUUUGAAGGAUGAAUUGGUUGACAGUAGGAAUUUCCACCAAUCUUCGCUUGUUUCUUAAUCAGAGAGGGGUCUUAAGACUGCCAAAUUUUGAACGAUGGUUUUUGGCAGGGUUUGACAGAUGCAAGUUGGGUGGGCAACCUAUUUGGACAUAUGACCUAAAAGAAGUAAAAAACGAUUACAAAGGGAAUCUGAUGGAGAUUACAUGACAGAGAGGCUCACAUGAAGUGUCCAUUAAGGAGAGAGGUGUGAAGUAACAACUGGGGCAAGUGUGUGGAAAGUCCUGAAAGCAUGGAAACCACUGAAGAGCCCCAGGGUUUGCAGAGCACAACGACUCAAGUAGGAACAGGUUUUGUGGCUUAGGUUCCUACUUGGGAUAUGAUUGCUUUUCCCCAUAUAAUUAGAUGCCUAAUUGUGCUCCUACACUUAGUGGAUACAUUUACAGCACCAUGUAAUUUUGAUUUAUUUCAAAGUUCUUCAUAAUGUGAAUCUACCACUGCUUACAUAUCAAUGUGCCACAUGUAACUGCUGAAACUAUUUGUGAUGAUUUUUUACUUUCUCCUUCUAGAUUCUGAGUAAUUUAGAAAGCAAUUUAACAAAGCUCACUCCAAUGAGUAUUUAAAUAUUAACAUUUUUAGUAUACCUAAAAUUUAGCUACAAAAGUAAUUGAAAAAUCAGUUUUAUAGGCUACUGAAGUAAAAAUUGAGGGCAUUGAUCAGAAGCUGUAAUAAUUUUGGUAAUAGAGCUAUCAGGGAAAAAACAAAGCAUUCUUGCCCAUUGGAAUCAAUAACAUCAUUUCUAGGAAUUCAUCUUCAAGAAAUUUUAAAAAAAUAAAUGCAAGGAUUUUGAUGCA
rnacentral:lncRNA from 1 species